rnacentral:rRNA from 1 species
AUUGAACGCUGGCGGCAGGCCUAACACAUGCAAGUCGAGCGGAUGAAGGGAGCUUGCUCCUGGAUUCAGCGGCGGACGGGUGAGUAAUGCCUAGGAAUCUGCCUGGUAGUGGGGGAUAACGUCCGGAAACGGGCGCUAAUACCGCAUACGUCCUGAGGGAGAAAGUGGGGGAUCUUCGGACCUCACGCUAUCAGAUGAGCCUAGGUCGGAUUAGCUAGUUGGUGGGGUAAAGGCCUACCAAGGCGACGAUCCGUAACUGGUCUGAGAGGAUGAUCAGUCACACUGGAACUGAGACACGGUCCAGACUCCUACGGGAGGCAGCAGUGGGGAAUAUUGGACAAAGGGCGAAAGCCUGAUCCAGCCAUGCCGCGUGUGUGAAGAAGGUCUUCGGAUUGUAGAGCACUUUAAGUUGGGAGGAAGAGCAGUAAGUUAAUACCUUGCUGUUUUGACGUUACCAACAGAAUAAGCACCGGCUAACUUCGUG